GCUAAGCUCGAAGUUCCAGGGAGUUGUCUGCAGCCGCCCACGGUGCGGGGCUCCCUUUCCUGCAACGUCCUGGCUGCAGAACCUUUGCUCCCAGGGCCCCUACCAGUGCUCCUCUCCGCAGCUAAGCAUUCCUACCGCGUCCAGCGCUCGUUUAAAAGAACCGCUCAAAGAGUCACUCUUAACCGUGCACCUGUCUCCCCUCCGUGCUGUCCUCAUACCAGGGCCCAACGCACCAGUCAGCCCCCACUAAGAGCAUCACUAUGGAAGGGACGGAGCCCAAGGUGACCCUGGACAUGACAGAUGAGGAAACCUCGUCAUAAACAGACAAGCAGCUUGCCCAAGGGCAUACCGUUUGUACCUGGCAAA